GCCAGGAAGCCCAGGCUACGAGCAGAGACCAUGUGUAGAUGAUCCAGCCAAUGGUUCCAGGUAGGGCAGGCUGUCUCCUGGAACUCUUGUGUACUCAUUGUUCUGAGAACUCCUGGCUCUACACUCUCCUUCCAUCUAAAUCCAGCAAACUAGACUUGUUUUCCACAUAGAUUCUGCGGGGAGGCAGGAAGAGAAUGAGGCUCAGCUUGCUAUUCAGAUGCGUUGUCUUCAUUCACUGGGGAAGAAAAGGCCUGGGUCUUAAUGAAAAAUAAAGAAGUCUACAGAUGAAUCCUUCA